rnacentral:rRNA from 1 species
AGCGAACGCUGGCGGCAGGCCUAACACAUGCAAGUCGAACGAACCUUUCGGGGUUAGUGGCGGACGGGUGAGUAACACGUGGGAACGUGCCUUUAGGUUCGGAAUAACUCAGGGAAACUUGUGCUAAUACCGAAUGUGCCCUUCGGGGGAAAGAUUUAUCGGCGAAGGAUCGGCCCGCGUUGGAUUAGGUAGUUGGUGGGGUAAUGGCCUACCAAGCCGACGAUCCAUAGCUGGUUUGAGAGGAUGAUCAGCCACACUGGGACUGAGACACGGCCCAGACUCCUACGGGAGGCAGCAGUGGGGAAUCUUAGACAAUGGGGGAAACCCUGAUCUAGCCAUGCCGCGUGAGCGAUGAAGGCCUUAGGGUUGUAAAGCUCUUUCAGCUGGGAAGAUAAUGACGGUACCAGCAGAAGAAGCCCCGGCUAACUCCGUG